rnacentral:rRNA from 1 species
GACGAACGCUGGCGGCGUGCUUAACACAUGCAAGUCGAACGGUGAAGCGCUUUCCUUUUUGGUUGGUGUGGAUGAGUGGCGAACGGGUGAGUAACAUGUGAGUAACCUGCCCCCUUCUUCUGGAUAACCGCAUGAAAGUGUGGCUAAUACGGGAUAUUCUGCGCCUGCUGCAUGGUGGGUGUGGGAAAGAUUGUGCCUUUGGGUGUUUUCGGUGGGGGAUGGGCUCGCGGCCUAUCAGCUUGUUGGUGGGGUGAUGGCCUACCAAGGCGGUGACGGGUAGCCGGCCUGAGAGGGUGGACGGUCACACUGGGACUGAGACACGGCCCAGACUCCUACGGGAGGCAGCAGUGGGGAAUAUUGCACAAUGGGCGCAAGCCUGAUGCAGCGACGCCGCGUGAGGGAUGGAGGCCUUCGGGUUGUGAACCUCUUUCGCCAGUGAAGCAGGCCUGCUCCGUGUGGGUGGGUUGACGGUAGCUGGAUAAGAAGCGCCGGCUAACUACGUG